rnacentral:rRNA from 1 species
AGAAUCAACGCUGGCGGCGUGCCUAACACAUGCAAGUCGAACGAGAAAGUGGUAGCAAUACCAUGAGUAAAGUGGCGCACGGGUGAGUAACACGUGACUAACCUACCCUUGAGUGGGGGAUAACUGAGGGAAACCUUAGCUAAUACCGCAUAAUACCCACGGGUCAAAGGAGCAAUUCGCUCAAGGAGGGGGUCGCGGCUGAUUAGCUAGUUGGUGAGGUAACGGCCCACCAAGGCUAAGAUCAGUA